rnacentral:lncRNA from 1 species
CUGGCCUCUCUGACUUCUCCGACAUGGCGCACAGCUCGUGCAGGUUCCAAUCUACGCAUGCCCGGUGCUGGCAGCACCUGUGCUUGCCUUCGUCCAUGACGUGUCCCCGGGCCUGGCAAGCUUGGUGCAGCGUUUCUCUAGACACCAUCAACACAUCCAGGUAAUGAAUUGUGGUUCCUCCUCACCUCUCCAUAGCUCACAUCCUGGUAAUGACACUUCUUUUUAUUGUGCAGGCAGUACACAGGCUGUGACUUGCUAAUGGCACAGCAUUCUCAUAUGCUGCUUAUUGGUUGAUGACCAUUCAUCAACAUGGUUUUAGUCCACUUUGCUCUCGUGUCGAUUUGGUGACUUCCCCGCCGUCGUACUUUUAUGUUGUGUCACCACUAGGAUUUAUUUAUUUGUAACGAAUCAAAAUUAAUGACCUGUUAAGUGGAGCGAACGAUUUUCUUUGCAAGAAAUAUGGUGACUUGCUGUUGUAAUAAAUAAGUUUACUCUGUUUGUUGUUGGACAUGUAUUUGGUUAUUUCGAUCCUAGUCAACUUAAUUGGCUUCUACUGAGUAUUAUUUCUCACAAAUUUAUAGUACUUGUUUGGGAUAUAUUCUGGAAUCUUAAUUUACUUGAUGUGAACUGCUUCCUGUGCUCUGUUCUCUAAAGCGAGGUUAAGUGCUUCACGCUGAUGGUCUAGAUAUGUAGCUGAGCUGUGAGGCUUACCUACAAGAGGAGAUCCCUUGACGAUGAUGCCGUUAAUUCUGUCUAUCUCUUGGGCGCAGGGCAUGCAUUGCAAACUCGAUGCUCCAGUGACUUGAUCUUCAUGGACCUCGGACUCGACUCUGGUCAUCGACGAGCUUUGUGAAGGCAGAAAGGCGGUGGAGAAGAUGCACAAUUCAGACUGCAAUUGCGCUUGCCUAUAGCUCUGCUUCCUCUGCUUUGGCUCUGUUCUCUGGACUCUGAACAUUUGGCUGUAGUUUGUGGUUUGAGGCAUCAGGUCGACUCUACUUGGGGCCUGACACACAAUCUUCCUCCUUCCAACUACUAAUGGCGGACGGAGAUGCUGCCUGCCACCUCAUGCUAAUGUCGGCUGCUACCUAUCUAUCCUCUCUUUAUUUCAACUCGUAGCCUACUCUGGGAAGAAAAACACCAUUCGUAGAAAGUUUUAGAUGUUGACAAUCAUAGGAAGAGUAGACCAAUGUUAUGUUGUGGAGAACAAAGGUCCGCUGCAUUUUUUUUGGAAAUGGAGGUAUACCCCCGGCCUCUGCAUCAUGAUGAUGCAUGCAACUUUUUUAUUAAAAAUCCAGAAAGUAUCA